GAAAUGACGUCAACCUGAAAUGGCAGACCGUCACAUGUAACAAGUGAGCUAAGAGGGUAAGACCCCAUCUCACAUUGGGAAAACAAUAUUCCAGGGCACUUCAAAACAGAAAUAAAAAAUUUGGAGUCAGAAAGCUUAGCUCCAUGGAGGAUAAUAAUCAGAAAGUGCGGCUCUCUAGGCAUGAAAAAACUGAAGAUCAUGUCCCUCGAAGUAAAAAGUCGAAUUGCGGCCCCCGGUAACCAGUUGUCUAUCCUUAGUCAAAAUCGUCAUUUCGGUACAAUCAAAUAUAUUGAACACCAUUCUUAUGCUGUUUUGAUUGAUGAACUGCAGUGCUAUCUUGUUGGAAUAUUGUCUUUCCUCUCUUCAUUCUUGCUGAGGGGGCAUUUUUCUUGGGUACAAGACAAUGUUGACAUCAGAUCUCGUCUCAUAAUAUAAAGCUGAAACUUUUUUUGGUGGAACCAAGUGCAGGUCUAAUACUAAUGGAGGGCUGAAAACUGAAAAAGUGAAUUUUCAGUUGAAAUUUCAUAAGAAGAAAAAUGGGAGUGGCGUGAACAACCUAUGGUGCACGAUCAAAUAUGCAAGUUACAAGAAAUGCGUAGAUGCUCGAACUAGAAGAAUAAGAAUUGAAGUUGUAAAACUAAAAAUAAAUUUGUUCUUAUUUUCAUCACAACAGAAAAUAAAUUAAUGGUUGAUGUUUGUCUUGAUACCCCAAUUCCUCAAAAGAAUAUUUCAGAGGUCUUCGCAGUUGGAUUUUGAAAAGUCGAACGUAUCUCUUCCAACAAGGUGCUGGCAAAAACACUAAGCCCAAGUGUAGAGUUGAAAGAACAUGUUUUAUGAUUUUUAGAAUAAUUUAUUGACUAGGAUAAGCAAUAACUCCAAAAAUUAAAUCAGACAGCACUCCUAUUAGAUCAACGUGUCGCAGGACACCAUUCAAAGAUCUUUGAAGAACAAGGGUCAAAAACUUUACUUUAGAAAGAACCAUUUGUUUAUUUCAGAAACGCAGUGACUGGAAAUAUUUAAAAUUGAAAUAUUUUAAUAUAAAGAAUUAUGCUUUAUUAGUAAAAUUAGAGUCCAUUUAAAUGUCAUUAAUGGAGCGUUAUUGAGAGUGAGUUCAUUCUUUUACUCCUCAAAACAACCUCGAAUUCCUUUAAACGGCCGAUGCAAAAGAAUUAAUAUACGUCUAAAAAAAUUUCAAGGGCAGGCUUAAUUUCCCUUACUUUGUUUAUAUUGUUUUUUUGUUUUUUUAAAUACAUUGAUUUAUUCUAAAGUUAUAAUCAAUGCAUAAUUUUAUUGCUUGGCCCACCAUUUUUGUGGUGCAUUUCCACAUAAAACACCCAUUAUUUUUUCUCCAUACUCAUAUCAUAUUGAUCUCAAGAUUAUAACUUCUCCUGAGCGUGAUGUUCACAAAGCUACGUCGAUCUAUUUCUUAUUAUUUUGGUUCAUCAGAAUAAAUCUAAUUUUAUAAAA
rnacentral:lncRNA from 1 species